rnacentral:rRNA from 1 species
GACGAACGCUGGCGGCGUGCUUAACACAUGCAAGUCGAACGGAAAGGCCCUGCUUUUGUGGGGUGCUCGAGUGGCGAACGGGUGAGUAACACGUGAGUAACCUGCCCUUGACUUUGGGAUAACUUCAGGAAACUGGGGCUAAUACCGGAUAGGAGCUCCUGCUGCAUGGGGGGGGUUGGAAAGUUUCGGCGGUUGGGGAUGGACUCGCGGCUUAUCAGCUUGUUGGGGGGGUAGUGGCUUACCAAGGCAUUGACGGGUAGCCGGCCUGGGAGGGUGGCCAGCCACAUUGGGACUGCGAGACGGAGCAGACUCCUACAGGAGACAGCAGUGGGGAAUAUUGCACAAUGGGCGGGAGCCUGAUGCAGCAACGCCGCGUGCGGGAUGACGGCCUUCGGGUUGUAAACCGCAUUCGCCUGUUACGAAGCGGGAGUGACGGUAAUGGGUGAAGAAGCACCGGCUAACUACGUG